AGAGAAAGCUGCUAUCCCAGGCAGGACGCUACACAGUCUUCCUUCUGGGCUUUCUUCCUCACCUGAACACAAGGUUUUUAGUGGCUUCCAAGGUCUACGAGGAAUCUGUGCAGACCCAGCUGCCUGCUCAAAAGAAGUGAGUGGGCGAUUAAUGUAUCAAAAACCUUCAGACUCAUCUGCCUUUUCUCCUUCCUACAGCCUUGAGCUCUGAGUACUGAGGGCCAUCACUGACUGGCACUCAAGACGCGGAAUGCAUUCUGCCUUUGAGCGUUACUGAGGAGAGACACAAAGGACUACAGCCUAUGGCACAAGACUCCUAAGCCCAGGUCUCAGCUCCCCAGAUGGGCUCUACAGAACCUACUAAAGGACAUAACAUGUAGCCUGGUGAUUAGUAUUGGAUGCCUA